rnacentral:lncRNA from 1 species
GCGGGACCCAAGAGGAGGAGGAGAAUGUGCGGCCGGGGCUGUGCCCUGGGAUCUGCAACAAACCCAGCUGCAACUGGAGGCGCUCGGGCGGAGCAAGAGACUGGGGCCCCGCAGCAAAGCCGGAGAGAGCGCCGCAGAGGCUGGGCUCGGGCUCGGACCUGCACUGGCAGUGGCCCCCCGGGGAGAAAGCCGCCUAGAUGACGGAGAGCCACCCUGCAGAGGUGGUCGUGGACCCUGGGAGCCUGAGGCCUGGACUGCGGCCACUGUGCACCAAGCCACCAGGACUUUCGUCUGUAAUCCCGGGUAUGAGAUGACUGAGCCAAGCACGAGCGCCUCAGCUUUCACCUUUACGCGGCACUCAAGAAGGCCCUAUUCAAGUCUGGAGUCUGGUUCAGGGGAUCCUGACCCCUCCAUGGUCCAGACGCUUACACCCUCCAUCAAGCCCUCUUCGCAGGCAGCGGAACCACAAGCGCUCUGGCACCAUGCUGCGCUCCUGCACUGCUGAGCUGAGCCGGGCCAACAGCAUCUUCCUGCAACUGCUGUUGGAUAAGAAGUUCGCACAAGGGUUGGGGGUUUAGCUCAGCGGCACAGCGCCUGCCUGGCAAGCGCUAGGUUGUGAGUUCGAUUCCUGGUACCGGGGGAAAAAAAAAAAUUCGCAUGGCCCUACCGGCUGCUAGAUGCUAGCCUGCUCCUGGGUGCUGGUCUUUUACUUCCUGGGCUUCCUGAAGGAGAAGCACAAGCUGCCCAUGCUCUGGGCAUUGGCUCAGCUCUGAGGCUGACUUGGCACUAUCAGAAAAAGGCCCUUCUGGAACUACUCCAGCUGCAACCCCGUCAUCCACGCUGCCUCCCAAAAUCAGGUGUGAGCUUCAGAACGCAGUCCCCGGAGACUGGAAGAUGUACCAUGGAGCGAGAGCAGUCAUCGGUCCUCGUCCCCUCUUGGUAACCAAAGAUGACGCAGUCUUUAUGGCUAAGGACCUAGAUCAGGACACUGACGGGCCAAGGGGGCAUCUGGGACUCCCAGUCCUGGGCACAGAGUUCUGAAAGUCUCGCUCUCCUCUUCCAUUCUAAACCUUUGUCCCUUCCUCACUGCUGGCACCUGACUCUCAAUUCCACACCCCCAUAUUCCCACACCCCAAUAUUCCCACACCCCAAUAUUCCCACUCCCCAGCUGGGGCUUGGCACUGUAAGGGCACAGUUAUAAAAUAGCAAACUUACUGAUAUUGUAUAGCAAAAGUUAAAAAUCAGUUAACGGCCUAAGACUGUGUUCCUGCUGCUUGUCACAUAGCUAGUCUGCUAAAUUCAGUCAGCCUUGAAAGUCUAAAUCCAGCCGCUUCUCUUUGAUAGUGCACUGGGCCAACCUGACUGUGUCCAGCUUGUGUCUUUCCUGAGCUAGAAAAAUAUAUAUUGUUUCCAGCUUGCUUCAAGCACUUCAUGAUUGGGACAGACUGGCCCAGUCAAGGACCCAUUUAACUCUGCUUGCUCUGCACACACCCCCUCCUCUCCUUCCCAGAACAUUCCUACCUUAUGAUAAACAAUUCCUUUUAAGUAAAUCUAUUUGCUUGACAACAUAUGACUCAAUGCAUGUAACCAAUCAUGUAACAACUAGCCAUCAGCCUUGUACUUCCUGCUUACAAACUGUAUUUAAACUGAACUCUAAGCUGUUUUGUGGUCUAGUGAUUUGGAACCUAUUCCUACCAGUCUGCUAGCAUAAUAAAAGUUGCUUUCUAACUCCUCGGUGCAAAG